ACCCACUUUUCUUUACAUAGAACUCUCCUAAACAUCCAUACAAAGUAGUUCAAGCUUUGGUUCCAAUCUUUAGACCUUAAACUCAUAUAGAAAACCUUGCUGAAAGAUCACAUAAGUUGCUGGGGAGCUAUAGGAGUAGUUAACCAAGUGGAUUAAGGAAUUUCGUGGCUUUAAGCAUCCUUAGUUAAGAGUCAAACAUUGUUGCAGGUUUGGUGUUGUGAGCUCAGGAUUCAGAAGUGAAGCAAGAUAAAGAUGUCGUCGUAGCUUAUGAAUUGAGUUUGUAUUUUAGAUAGUCAAUUAAGGAAUAGUUUCUGAUAUAUUUUCGAUGUAUAAUAUUUGGGAAUCUAGUUGAGAUAAUUGUGUUAUUUUAAGGAUUUUAUUUUGUGGGCCAAUAACCCACAGGUCCA